AGCAGAGGUCAGAGAUAUACUUCCAUAGAACUCUCCUACAGAAGCUAAAGCGUUGCCUACUUUUAGGUCUGUAUCAAAACACUCAGCUUCUGUAUUAACACCACGGUAGUAGUGGUUGUUGUCGUGGUAACAAUAGUUACCUGGCAUACACUCUCUCUGCUACUGUUUAAUUGCUUUUCCCCACAUUGCAUUACUUUACUGGGUACAAAUAAUAUCUUGCUUUUCAGGUACAAUAUCAUCUUAUUCUCAUUUUAUUGUUUUUGUGUUUUAAUUAGAAAUUUGUAAUAAAGCAUCACCCAGAAGUUUUGAUGCUGCUGUUGAAGAGAUUUAUCUUUGAUUACCGUCACAGGGGAUUUGUGAAAAAUGAACUCAAGAGUGGAGGUUCCCUACAUUCUACAGAUACCAGAGAAUCAGACCUAUGAGCUGUAUGCCUUUGUGGACCAUUGUGGAAGUCUGACAGGUGGACAUUACACUGCAACAGUCAAGUCCCAGGAUGAUGAGCAAUGGUUUCAAUUCAACGACACUGCUGUCUCACCACUUGAUCACCAGCUACUCUAGGUGGACAG